GUAUAUAGCGUAGUCCUAGCUAUUCUGUGUCUUUUCCUGGCCCAUAUGAAGUUAUCGAUAGCUGUCUGCAAUGGUUUCAGGUCAGUUUUAGAGACUCUCACAGGGAGUGCCUGAAAUAGAAAUAGAAGGCGUGGGAGCAAGUUCAUUUUGACUGCAUGCAGCCUCCCUGUCCACGAGAUUGGCUUCUCGUGACAUCUGUCUAAGU